UUUCAUUGCUUGUUUAUCUGACGACACAAAUUCAGAGUAUGAGAACUCCGGCGAGUUCGCGCCGGCAGAAUUGAUCUUCCGCCAACGGCUGUUUCCAACGUCUCGCCGAAGCAACGUCGGAUGGUCAAGGGUGGGAGUUCCUGAAGCAGGAAGACUCGGUAAUGAUCCUUCCGCAGGUUCACUGUGAAUGUUAGCUGGAUUUCAUAAUCAGACGAAAAACAUACCCUACGGAAA
rnacentral:misc_RNA from 1 species